rnacentral:lncRNA from 1 species
UACAGUACGGGUAGGGACUUAUUUUUAUGGAUGUCUUAAUCCGUCUAGUCGGAUAUGAAUAAUCGGACAUUUUUAUGGUAGGUAGUAUGGUCAUUAAUCAACAGAUCCAGGUGUGAAUGGUCCUUUCAUCUUAAUCCGUGUUGCUAGAAUUACGGUUCACUGAUUUCAGAAUCGGGUUACCUGUAAUUUUAAUCUCUCAGUCACUUUAUUGAUUAUAUUAGUUCUACAUCGUAUUUGACAUAAAAUAUUUUUACAGGUG